GACUCGGUGGCGGAUGGUCCGCGUCCACAAUCUGUAUUGACAAGGAUUGGGUUAUGGUGGAAGUCGCCUGUUCGAAUCAGGCCCGAGUCA